GUCCAUUUAGCUGCUCUAAAAUGUGAGCUCCAAAUCAGGGGUCAUGUCUGGUUGGUUACCCAUUUCCUGGGUCCUAGAACGGGCCUAGCUCAGAGCAGGUGCUCACUAUUGAUGGAAUGCUUGUUGAAAGAAUGCAUGAAUCUCAUCUCCUUUUGUGGGUGAAAAACUCAUCCUAUUCUCAUUCCUGAUUAACUUUCUUUCUUUUUCUUUUUUUUUUCAAAAGGGAGCCAUGAUCUGUCACCCAGGUGGAGUGCAAUAGUGUGAUCUUAGCUCCCUGCAACCUCUGCCUUCUGGAUUAAAGAAAUUCUGCUGCCUCAGCCUCCCAUGUAGCUGGGAUUACAGGGGAGUCACUGAGCAGAAGGAAGCGAGUUGCCUGAGAUUCUUCAAAGCCCCAGCCCUUUUGGAGGUAGAAGUUGCUGGCCCCAUCUUGCUCACAAUCCUCCAAAGUUUGAAAGUUAUUUUCCAGGAGACUUGGCUUGCACUGAGAGUUGUCCUCCCACCCUCUCUCCAAAUUUCCUCUUGGGGGUAGCCUAACAAGGUACUGUCACAGACCCUUGCCAGCCACGAUGACCCCACCCAGACCAUCCCUCUGCUGUUUCACUCUUUGUUCCUCUCUGGAGCUCUCUGGGGAAGGGU
rnacentral:lncRNA from 1 species